GACGUAGGGUGCGAGCGUUGUCCGGAUUUAUUGGGCGUAAAGAGCUCGUAGGCGGCUCGUCGCGUCGACCGUGAAAACCCGCGGCUUAACUGCGGGCUUGCGGUUGAUACGGGCGGGCUAGAGGCAGGCAGGGGAGAACGGAAUUCCUGGUGUAGCGGUGAAAUGCGCAGAUAUCAGGAGGAACACCGGUGGCGAAGGCGGUUCUCUGGGCCUGUACUGACGCUGAGGAGCGAAAGCGUGGGGAGCGAACAGG
rnacentral:rRNA from 1 species